GUGAGGAAUUUUCCGCAAUGGGCGAAAGCCUGACGGAGCAAAGCCGCGUGAAGGAUGAAGGCCUAUGGGUUGUAAACUUCUUUUCUCAGAAAAGAAUUAUGACGGUAUCUGAGGAAUAAGCAUCGGCUAACUCUGUGCCAGCAGCCGCGGUAAGACAGAGGAUGCAAGCGUUAUCCGGAAUGAUUGGGCGUAAAGCGUCUGUAGGUUGUUUAAAAAGUAUUCUGUCAAAGAUUAGGGCUUAACCCUAGAUAGGCAGAAUAAACUUUUAAGCUAGAGUUUGGUAGAGGCAGAGGGAAUUCCCGGUGGAGCGGUGAAAUGCGUAGAUAUCGGGAGGAACACCAAAGGCGAAGGCACUCUGCUGGGCCAAUACUAACACUGAGAGACGAAAGCGAGGGGAGCAAAUGGGAUUAGAUACCCGUGUAGUCC
rnacentral:rRNA from 1 species